CCCUUAGAUGUCCUGGGCUGCACGCGCGCUACACUGAAAGUUACGGAUUGACUUUUUACCUUGUCCGAAAUGGUCCGGGUAAUCACCUAAAAGCUUGUCAUAAUUGGAAUGGAUUAUUGUAACUAGUAAUCCUGAACGAGGAAUUCCUAGUAAGUCCCAGUCAACAGCUGGUACUGAUUACGUCCCUGCCCUUUGUACACACCGCCCGUCGCACCUACCGAUUGGAUGGUCCGGUGAAGCCUCGGGAUUGUGGUUCUUGCCGCUUUAUUGUGGCGUGACCGCGAGAACUUGUCUAAACCUUAUCAUCUAGAGGAAGGUGAAGUCGUAACA
rnacentral:rRNA from 1 species